UACGGAAGGGGCGAGCGUUGUUCGGAAUCAUUGGGCGUAAAGGGCGCGUAGGUGGUUCUGUAUGUCUACCGUGAAAGCGUACGGCUCAACUGUAUUUUGUCGGUAGAAACUGCAGGACUUGAGGCUGGGAGGGGCUGGUGGAAUUCCCUGUGUAGCGGUGAAAUGCGUAGAGAUGUGGAGGAACACCGAUGGCGAAGGCAGCCUCCUGGGCCAGCACUGACGCUCAUGCACGAAAGCGUGGGGAGCAAACAGG
rnacentral:rRNA from 1 species